AGCUGAUGGGUAUGCCAAGGUGAAAUACAGCCAAUUAUAUAGGCAUUGGAUUAAUGGCAAAAUUGAGGUGUUUGGCAGGAUUUUAGGUAUCAUGCAGGAAAUGAUGUGAAGUGAAUACUGAUGUUAUUAAGGAUUGUUGUAAUUAGAGUUUGAAGAGGUCGAACUCGCUUUUACCAUAUAGAUACAUAUAUAGGAUCUUAUAUCCUAGUUUGAAACUGGAUAUUUGCUAGGAAGGAACCAGAAGAAAGCAGCAGCCUCAUUUUGAAAUUCUGAGACUGGUUCUCUGGCACCUAAUGUAGAGCCUCACUUUGAGAUUGCGAGACUGGUUAUCUGGCAGACUGGGGUGCACAUUAGGAUGUGCUCAGAUUAUGGGGGGUAACCAGUCUACACGUGGUGUACCAUUUGAUGCUUCUGGGGAAGUGAAUUUUGACCACUUCCUGAUAUUGCGUGCAAUCGGCAAAGGCAGCUUUGGGAAGGU